rnacentral:rRNA from 1 species
GCAAGUCGAACGGCAGCGCGGACUUCGGUCUGGCGGCGAGUGGCGAACGGGUGAGUAAUGUAUCGGAACGUACCCAGUAGCGGGGGAUAACUACGCGAAAGCGUGGCUAAUACCGCAUACGCCCUUUGGGGGAAAGCGGGGGACCUUCGGGCCUCGCACUAUUGGAGCGGCCGAUAUCGGAUUAGCUAGUUGGUGAGGUAAAGGCUCACCAAGGCGACGAUCCGUAGCUGGUUUGAGAGGACGACCAGCCACACUGGGACUGAGACACGGCCCAGACUCCUACGGGAGGCAGCAGUGGGGAAUUUUGGACAAUGGGGGCAACCCUGAUCCAGCCAUCCCGCGUGUGCGAUGAAGGCCUUCGGGUUGUAAAGCACUUUUGGCAGGGAAGAAAAGGUGCCGGUGAAUACCCGGCGCCGCUGACGGUACCUGCAGAAUAAGCACCGGCUAACUACGUGCCAGCAGCCGCGGUAAUACGUAGGGUGCAAGCGUUAAUCGGAAUUACUGGGCGUAAAGCGUGCGCAGGCGGCUCGGAAAGAAAGAUGUGAAAUCCCAGGGCUUAACCUUGGAAUGGCAUUUUUAACUCCCGAGCUAGAGUAUGUCAGAGGGGGGUAGAAUUCCACGUGUAGCAGUGAAAUGCGUAGAGAUGUGGAGGAAUACCGAUGGCGAAGGCAGCCCCCUGGGAUA